AACGAACGCUGGCGGCGCGCUUAACACAUGCAAGUCGAACGCACCGGUUUCGGCCGGUGAGUGGCGGACGGGUGAGUAACGCGUGGGAACCUGCCCUUUGGUCUGGGAUAACCGCGGGAAACCGCGGCUAAGACCGGAUAUUCCCGUGAGGGGAAAGACAUGUCGCCGAAGGAUGGGCCCGCGUCGGAUUAGGUAGUUGGUGGGGUAACGGCCCACCAAGCCUGCGAUCCGUAGCUGGUCUGAGAGGAUGGCCAGCCACACUGGGACUGAGACACGGCCCAGACUCCUACGGGAGGCAGCAGUGGGGAAUCUUGGACAAUGGGCGAAAGCCUGAUCCAGCGACGCCGCGUGGGUGACGAAGGCCUUCGGGUUGUAAAGCCCUUUUGCCGGGGACGAUGAUGACGGUACCCGGAGAAGAAGCACCGGCUAACUCCGUGCCAGCAGCCGCCGUAACAC
rnacentral:rRNA from 1 species